GAUGAACGCUGGCGGCGUGCUUAACACAUGCAAGUCGAGCGAGUGAGUUCUUCGGAACGAUCUAGCGGCGGACGGGUGAGUAACACGUGGGCAACCUGCCUCAUAGAGGGGAAUAGCCUCCCGAAAGGGAGAUUAAUACCGCAUAACAUCGUUGAAGGGCAUCCUUCGAUGAUCAAAGGAGCAAUCCGCUAUGAGAUGGGCCCGCGGCGCAUUAGGUAGUUGGUGAGGUAACGGCUCACCAAGGCGACGAUGCGUAGCCGACCUGAGAGGGUGAUCGGCCACAUUGGGACUGAGGCACGGCCCAGACUCCUACGGGAGGCAGCAGUGGGGAAUAUUGCACAAUGGGGGAAACCCUGAUGCAGCAACGCCGCGUGAGUGAUGACGGCCUUCGGGUUGUAAAGCUCUGUCUUUGGGGACGAUAAUGACGGUACCCAAGGAGGAAGUCACGGUUAACUACGUGCCAGCAGCCGCCGUAA
rnacentral:rRNA from 1 species